rnacentral:rRNA from 1 species
UACGGGGGGGGCAAGCGUUGUUCGGAAUCACUGGGCGUAAAGCGCACGUAGGCGGAUUGUUAAGUCAGGGGUGAAAUCCUGGAGCUCAACUCCAGAACUGCCUUUGAUACUGGCGAUCUUGAGUUCGGGAGAGGUGAGUGGAACUGCGAGUGUAGAGGUGAAAUUCGUAGAUAUUCGCAAGAACACCAGUGGCGAAGGCGGCUCACUGGCCCGAUACUGACGCUGAGGUGCGAAAGCGUGGGGAGCAAACAGG